UAGGGAAUCUUCGGCAAUGGACGAAAGUCUGACCGAGCAACGCCGCGUGAGUGAAGAAGGUUUUCGGAUCGUAAAAUCUCUGUUGGUAGAGAAGAACGUUGGUGAGAGUGGAAAGCUCAUCAAGUGACGGUAACUACCCAGAAAGGGACGGCUAACUACGUGCCAGCAGCCGCGGUAAUACGUAGGUCCCGAGCGUUGUCCGGAUUUAUUGGGCGUAAAGCGAGCGCAGGUGGUUUAUUAAGUCUGGUGU
rnacentral:rRNA from 1 species